UGAGGAACAUGACCUUCGGCGGGGGAGUAGCCGGCCCAACGGCCGGGUAAUACCGCGUACGACCACUUUGGGACAUCCCUAGGUGGUGAAAGCAGCAAUGCGCCGAUGGAGUGCCCCGCGGCCUAUCAGCUAGUUGGUGAGGUAACGGCUCACCAAGGCAACGAUGCGUAGCUGACCUGAGGAGGGUGAUCGGGCCACAUUGGAACUGAGACACGGUCCAGACUCUACGGGAGCAG
rnacentral:rRNA from 1 species